GUUCAUGUGAUUAAUUCAGCUGUUCAGCUGCUGAGUGACUCAGAAAUGAACUGAAUUUCAAUUCUGAUUAGA
ensembl:snoRNA